CUGGGGAGUACGGCCGCAAGGUUAAAACUCAAAUGAAUUGACGGGGGCCCGCACAAGCGGUGGAGCAUGUGGUUUAAUUCGAUGCAACGCGAAGAACCUUACCUGGUCUUGACAUCCACGGAAGAAUUCAGAGAUGGAUUUGUGCCUUCGGGAACCGUGAGACAGGUGCUGCAUGGCUGUCGUCAGCUCGUGUUGUGAAAUGUUGGGUUAAGUCCCGCAACGAGCGCAACCCUUAUCCUUUGUUGCCAGCGGUCCGGCCGGGAACUCAAAGGAGACUGCCAGUGAUAAACUGGAGGAAGGUGGGGAUGACGUCAAGUCAUCAUGGCCCUUACGACCAGGGCUACACACGUGCUACAAUGGCGCAUACAAAGAGAAGCGACCUCGCGAGAGCAAGCGGACCUCAUAAAGUGCGUCGUAGUCCGGAUUGGAGUCUGCAACUCGACUCCAUGAAGUCGGAAUCGCUAGUAAUCGUGGAUCAGAAUGCCACGGUGAAUACGUUCCCGGGCCUUGUACACACCGCCCGUCACACCAUGGGAGUGGGUUGCAAAAGAAGUAGGUAGCUUAACCUUCGGGAGGGCGCUUACCACUUUGUGAUUCAUGACUGGGGUGAAGUCGUAACAAGGUAACCGUAGGGGAACCUGCGGUUGGAUCACCUCCUUACCUUAAAGAAGC
rnacentral:rRNA from 1 species